UCUCUAUUAUAGCAUUAAU
rnacentral:snRNA from 1 species